rfam:Ciona savignyi cont_50550, whole genome shotgun sequence.
GCCCGGUUAGCUCAGCCGGUAGAGCGUUAGACUUUUAAUCCAACGUACGGUCAAGGGUUCAAGUCCUUUAUCGGGCU